rnacentral:rRNA from 1 species
GACGUAGGGCGCGAGCGUUGUCCGGAUUUAUUGGGCGUAAAGAGCUCGUAGGCGGUCUGCCGCGUCUGCUGUGAAAACUCAGGGCUUAACCCUGAGCUUGCAGUGGGUACGGGCAGACUAGAGUGCGGUAGGGGAGACUGGAAUUCCUGGUGUAGCGGUGAAAUGCGCAGAUAUCAGGAGGAACACCGGUGGCGAAGGCGGGUCUCUGGGCCGAUACUGACGCUGGAGGAGCGAAAGCGUGGGGAGCGAACAGG